rnacentral:rRNA from 1 species
UAACACGUGAGCAACCUGCCUUUCAGAGGGGGAUAACAGUUGGAAACGACUGCUAAUACCGCAUAACGCUGCGAUGGGGCAUCCCGAUGCAGCCAAAGGAGCAAUCCGCUGAAAGAUGGGCUCGCGGCCGAUUAGCUAGUUGGUGGGGCAACGGCCCACCAAGGCGACGAUCGGUAGCCGGACUGAGAGGUUGAUCGGCCACAUUGGGACUGAGACGCGGCCCAGACUCCUACGGGAGGCAGCAGUGGGGGAUAUUGCACAAUGGAGGAAACUCUGAUGCAGCGACGCCGCGUGAGGGAAGACGGUCUUCGGAUUGUAAACCUCUGUCUUUGGGGAAGAAAAUGACGGUACCCAAAGAGGAAGCUCCGGCUAACUACGUGCCAGCAGCCGCGGUAAUACGUAGGGAGCGAGCGUUGUCCGGAAUUACUGGGUGUAAAGGGAGCGUAGGCGGGCGAGAAAGUUGAAUGUUAAAUCUACCGGCUUAACUGGUAGCUGCGUUCAAAACUUCUUGUCUUGAGUGAAGUAGAGGCAGGCGGAAUUCCUAGUGUAGCGGUGAAAUGCGUAGAUAUUAGGAGGAACACCAGUGGCGAAGGCGGCCUGCUGGGCUUUAACUGACGCUGAGGCUCGAAAGCGUGGGGAGCAAACAGGAUUAGAUACCCUGGUAGU